AACGCACCUUGCGCUCCUUGGUAUUCCGAGGAGCAUGCCUGUUUGAGUGUCAUUAAAUUCUCAAUCUUCUACAGCCUUUGUGUUGUGUUAGCAGAUUGGAAGUGGGGGUCCUUGUGGGUUCAUUUGCUGAAUCUACUCCCCUAAAAAUUAUUAGCUGGGAAUGCCUUUGCAAAACCAACUAUCAGUAUGAUAAUUAUCGAUGCUGAUGUUGUUGUAAAAGGGGAUCUGCUUUCAAACUGUCACUGAGACAAAACGAAUCAAUUUGACCUCAAAUCAGGUAGGACUACCCGCUGAACUUAA
rnacentral:misc_RNA from 1 species